GAGGGUAUAGCUUAGUGCUGGAGUAGUUGCCUAGUGUGCAUGAGGCCUGGGUUCAAUCCCCAGUACCACCA
rnacentral:tRNA from 1 species